ensembl:lncRNA
CUCCAGCAGGAGCCCAGAGCCCCGUCCUGCCCGCGGGGCUCACAGCACUGAGCUUCCACCCCAUCGCUGGGCAGCCUCUGCCCGUUCUGUUUCUCCAUGGAGGCGUUGGAAAAGAGCACUGAAGGGGCACAGCACCACGAUCCUUAUGGGUCCCUUUCCCCUCGGGGUAUGCUGUGGUUCUGAGACGAGAACGCAGCGUGUGUUUAGAAGACAAGAGCACAGCAGUUGCCUUCGUGGUCCACAGCCCAGCCCUGAGCUCAGCUCCAGGCUCAGCCCUCUCGCUGUGUCACACAGCUGAAGCCACGUCCUGGCGCUGCCCCGAGCUGUGCUGGAGGGUGGAUGCUGUGAGGUAAGGAGAAGCGCUCCUCAGGGGCGAGGAGGAUCUUGCAAUGCAUCGCAUUCUUUCCCAAUCCUUUAAAAACCUCCUGCCAGAACAAACAGAGCAGCGUGCGUUGGAGGGGUGGGGAUGUGCUGCUCUCCAUGACAAGUGGGAGUGAGGGCUGUUUAUCCCGGGGUGGGGCUCCGAGUUGCCUACAAGACGUUCCCUUCCCCAGCCCAAAGGCUGUGUGUUUGGGUUCAGGCUGGGUUCUGCGGGGCUCCGCCACCCCGUGUGGUUCUGCCUGUGGAUGGGGAGCGGCGCAGAAAUGCUCUUCCAGCCUUUCAGGUCUAAAGGUAAAUGAGAUGGUUGCUUAUUUCUUUGCCGUCGGGGUGUUAUUCUGAACGGAGCCGGGUGCUUUCUGGAGGGAUUUCGAGGCUGAAGUGUUUGUGUUGGUGUGCCUCGGAGCUGCUGUGUGUGAACGCGAAGGAAGCGGGGCAGGAUUUGUGCUGCUCUGCAGUUUCACGUGGAAGGUGGAACUCGGAGAAGGCACCCAUUCCUGCUGCUGGCAUCCCAUAACGGUGCUGAAGCAUCGUUUGCUGGCCUUCUUGUGAGGAUUCCUACGUGGAAGACUCACGCAGACUUCUUUCUGUCUGGAUGGAAAGUGCCCUAAUGUGACAGGUGCUGGGAGGGAAUCUGUGGCAGCAUCAGAGAGCUGUGGGUUUUUAUUCUUGUACCUCGAGACCAUCUUUAUCUGACCUGUGAGUUUUCUCACCGCUUCUUGCUCUUUUUUUCCGCUCCCUGUCCUGCUGAGCUGGGAGGGACCCGGCAGCCCUGCAGGCGCUCGGCUGCAGCCUUUGGGGCACGGAGAUAAGUCGGACUGGAGCAGGCUGGACGGAGCGUGCUGCUGCUCGGUGGGGACGCGUCGAGCCCUGCGGUGGAGCAGCAAGCUGCUUUCUCUGCUUCCUCUUAGGAC